rnacentral:tRNA from 1 species
GGCUCGUUGGUAUAAAGGGUAUGAUUCUCGCUUUGGGUGCGAGAGGUCGCGGGUUCAAAUCCCGGACGAGCCC